CUCUGCCAUCUUCACCUCAGGACAUCUGUCUUUCCUUUCUGCAUUGGAAACUACAAGCAAAUGAAAGCUGUGAAGCUUUUCAUAAUAUACUCAUCCUUCUGAGCCAGAAUGAUUGAUUUAAGAAAAACAGUUCAUAAACAUACCCUUAACAGAGAGUUUGUGCUUAAAUUUGUGUAAGUAAAGAGGGAAAAAAAGAAGUAAUUUCUGAUGUAAGUAAGCCUGUGACAGUUUUUGCCCAGGUAAGAAAUAAUAAAGAUUUCAAAAUUUGCUCCUCAGGGAAAUUUCAUGCCAGGUGAAAUUGCAACGUGACCUGCAAAGAAAACAUUUUAUUUCCCAGAAUCUUUAACCAAUUUUAAAAACAAUGCCCAGCUACUUUCCUGCGUGUUUCACAGAGUGGAUUUU
rnacentral:lncRNA from 1 species